GUAAAACUGGAUGAUACUGCUAUAAAACGGGUAUAUACUUCUAAGGGUGAUACCCAAGGGAAACCUAAUAAUAAGAGACACAGAAUUUCACGUUUGAAGAAUUCAACAUCAAGUCGAACUUUGUUUCAGAGUCCUGAAACAUCACCAAAGGUAUAAAGUACAAAGGUUUUUGCAAACAUAAAAUACAGUCCAACUGUACAAAAACAUUGUAUUUUAACCAUUUAAGUCAGAAUGCUCUCUGAUGCACCCUACUUUAGUAUUUUACUCUGUCUAACGCCAGACGAUUUUACUCGUCAAGUGGAGAGUGCUGCCACUCAAUGGGUUAAUGAGACAAUGAGAUGUUAAUGGGGGGAGGGGAGGGGAAGGGGGGCUAAAAGUUAUCAUUAUAGUAAUAGUAACAUUGUAUUUUAAUACUUUUUUUGCUUGUGAGAAUUUCUGUCCAUAGGCGUACGAGGCUGGGGUUGGGCAGAAUUCUGCUUUAAAAAUUGGGCAAUUGUUUUAAGAUUUACUUUAAACAGUAUUGCUGCAAGCCUGCAUAGGAGUUAUGUUCCUUCUAUUUUAUACCUCUUGUUCAUCUAUCAAUAAAUUCAUGACAAUGUCGGGCGAUUUAUAUCUACCCGUACGCCAAUAUUUUUCAAUGCUGGGAGUGGCAUAUCAGAAAACCUAUAGUACACAAAUUUCCCGGAGAAGCAUGCCCACAAUCCCGGUAAAAAUCCAUGAGUUUCUUUGUUGUUGUCUUAUUAUGCUGGCACUGACAUUGCCCCUCUCACUUUUGCUGUUUGUUUUGUAGUUUCCUAUCAGAAAGAUUAAAACCGACUCCUCCAAAGAAAUUCCCAGUAAAACCUCAUAAAUGGACAUUUGAGGAAGAUAAAGCAUUCAUUGAAUUCAUAUCUGUUGCAGACAAUCAUGCAAAUGAUUACGAUUGAAGAGGUUUACCAAUUAUGUAAUACCUCUAGAUUGUUUUAAUGCAUCAUUAAGCUAGAGCAAAAGCAUCACUUUUCAUAUACGUCAUCAUAUAGCAUCCAUGUGUACUGGUGAAAUGAAUGUGUGCAACAUUUUAAAAUUGUGCGCAUAAAAUUUUAUUUUUAAAAACAUUUUAAUUAUCUUUAAGUACAAUAAUAUUACGUUCA